AGGAUUAUAGUUUAAUUAAAACAUUUAAUUUGCAUUUAAAAAAUAUUGAAUUAAUCAAUUUAUCUUAUAUUAUAAUUA
rnacentral:tRNA from 1 species